rnacentral:rRNA from 1 species
CCUACGGGAGGCAGCAGUGGGGAAUAUUGGGCAAUGGGGGAAACCCUGACCCAGCAACGCCGCGUGAGGGAAGAAGGUUUUCGGAUCGUAAACCUCUGUCCUUGGUGAAGAGGAAGAGACGGUAGCCAAGGAGGAAGCCCCGGCUAACUACGUGCCAGCAGCCGCGGUAAU